UACAGGGGGUGCAAACGUUGCUCGGAAUCAUUGGGCGUAAAGCGCACGUAGGCGGUUUGUCGCGUCUGCUGUGAAAAUCCAGGGCUUAACCCUGGACCUGCAGUGGGUACGGGCAGACUAGAGUGCGGUAGGGGAGAUCGGAAUUCCUGGUGUAGCGGUGAAAUGCGCAGAUAUCAGGAGGAACACCGGUGGCGAAGGCGGAUCUCUGGGCCGUAACUGACGCUGAGGAGCGAAAGCGUGGGGAGCGAACAGG
rnacentral:rRNA from 1 species